rnacentral:snoRNA from 1 species
CUGCAGCUUAUUAAGCCGACCAGUUCCUCUGCCGUGUGGUUCUGGUGUGCAAAGGCUGCAGACAGCAACUCUCUGGUUGUGUAUGUCCUCAGCUGGGAGGUGCUGAGUGCUUUAAGGGACCACUGAGACAAAC